rnacentral:rRNA from 1 species
AGUGAACGCUGGCGGUAGGCCUAACACAUGCAAGUCGAACGGCAGCACAGUAAGAGCUUGCUCUUACGGGUGGCGAGUGGCGGACGGGUGAGGAAUACAUCGGAAUCUACUUUUUCGUGGGGGAUAACGUAGGGAAACUUACGCUAAUACCGCAUACGACCUACGGGUGAAAGCAGGGGAUCUUCGGACCUUGCGCGAUUGAAUGAGCCGAUGUCGGAUUAGCUAGUUGGUGGGGUAAAGGCCCACCAAGGCGACGAUCCGUAGCUGGUCUGAGAGGAUGAUUAGCCACACUGGAACUGAGACACGGUCCAGACUCCUACGGGAGGCAGCAGUGGGGAAUAUUGGACAAUGGGCGCAAGCCUGAUCCAGCCAUACCGCGUGGGUGAAGAAGGCCUUCGGGUUGUAAAGCCCUUUUGUUGGGAAAGAAAAGCAGCAGGUUAAUACCCCGCUGUUCUGACGGUACCCAAAGAAUAAGCACCGGCUAACUUCGUG